CAGGUUGUUGAAUAACUUGAGGAAAGUUUAUUCAGAGGGGACGGCAAGUCCCUUUUAAAGCAAAAUUACAUCAUAAGCAUUGUCAGAGAUAACAUGGAAUAAUACAUCAAUAAUUGGUUAGGUGUUAAGUGGUUGCUUCAAUGCUCUGCCUACUGCAGGUGAUGUCACCGGGGCCAUGAGGGUCUCCCACGGUUUACCGGCGCCAUCUUGGUACACGAGGUAGUUAGUCGAUGUUAGGAGGGAGGAAGGGAAGGGGGGGGGGGAAAAGGAGCUAGAAGCUUCCAGCAGCCAUCUUAAUUAUAAUAUGUGUGCUUAGCUAUAUUGAUAUAUAUCGUGAAAUGAGUAAAUAGACAUUUUUCACUAACUAGGAAAUAUGUGUAGACCUUAUUUCCACAACACCCAUAUGGGAUUAAUUGUAUAGAAUACCAAUCAGCACAUCUUCCCUGCCCUGUGUGUUUGUUGCAAAG